rnacentral:rRNA from 1 species
CCUACGGGUGGCAGCAGUGGGGGAUAUUGCACAAUGGGGGAAACCCUGAUGCAGCGACGCCGCGUGUGGGAAGACGGUCCUCUGGAUUGUAAACCACUGUCCCCAGGGACGAAGAUGACGGUACCUGGGGAGGAAGCUCCGGGUAACUACGUGCCAGCAGCCGCGGUAAUACGUAGGGAGCGAGCGUUGUCCGGAAUUACUGGGUGAAAAGGGAGCGUAGGCGGGACUGCAAGUUGGGUGGCAAAUCUACCGGCUCAACCGGUAGCCGCACUCAAAACUGCAGUUCUUGAGUGAAGUAGAGGCAGGCGGAAUUCCUAGUGUAGCGGUGAAAUGCGUAGAUAUUAGGAGGAACACCAGUGGCGAAGGCGGCCUGCUGGGCUUUUACUGACGCUGAGGCUCGAAAGUGUGGGGAGCAAACAGGAUUAGAUACCCGAGUAGUC